rnacentral:rRNA from 1 species
AUUGAACGCUGGCGGCAGGCCUAACACAUGCAAGUCGAGCGGCAGCGGAAAGUAGCUUGCUACUUUGCCGGCGAGCGGCGGACGGGUGAGUAAUGUCUGGGAAACUGCCUGAUGGAGGGGGAUAACUACUGGAAACGGUAGCUAAUACCGCAUAAUGUCGCAAGACCAAAGAGGGGGACCUUCGGGCCUCUUGCCAUCAGAUGUGCCCAGAUGGGAUUAGCUAGUAGGUGGGGUAACGGCUCACCUAGGCGACGAUCCCUAGCUGGUCUGAGAGGAUGACCAGCCACACUGGAACCGAGACACGGUCCAGACUCCUACGGGAGGCAGCAGUGGGGAAUAUUGCACAAUGGGCGCAAGCCUGAUGCAGCCAUGCCGCGUGUAUGAAGAAGGCCUUCGGGUUGUAAAGUACUUUCAGCGGGGAGGAAGGUGCUGAGGUUAAUAACCUCAGCAAUUGACGUUACCCGCAGAAGAAGCACCGGCUAACUCCGUGCCAGCCGCCGCAGUAACAC